GAUGAACGCUGGCGGCGUGCCUAAUACAUGCAAGUCGAGCGAACAGACGAGGAGCUUGCUCCUCUGACGUUAGCGGCGGACGGGUGAGUAACACGUGGAUAACCUACCUAUAAGACUGGGAUAACUUCGGGAAACCGGAGCUAAUACCGGAUAAUAUAUUGAACCGCAUGGUUCAAUAGUGAAAGACGGUUUUGCUGUCACUUAUAGAUGGAUCCGCCCCGCAUUAGCUAGUUGGUAAGGUAACGGCUUACCAAGGCGACGAUUCUUAGCCGACCUGAGAGGUUGAUCGGCCACACUGGAACUGAGACACGGUCCUGACUCCUACGGGAGGCAGCAGUAGGGAAUCUUCCGCAAUGGGCGAAAGCCUGACGGAGCAACGCCGCGUGAGUGAUGAAGGUCUUCGGAUCGUAAAACUCUGUUAUUAGGGAAGAACAAAUGUGUAAGUAACUAUGCACGUCUUGACGGUACCUAAUCAGAAAGCCACGGCUAACUACGUG
rnacentral:rRNA from 1 species